AAGGGUGUAAAUUACCCUUUAUUAACUGAAUGUGUUCCUGCAAAACUUUAGAGAAAGCUGGCAAUCGUAAAGCCAUGUUACAAACCUUAAAGACAUCGAAGGCAUUAAGGUCCCUGAAAAUAGCUAUAAGG